GGAUCACGUUGUUGUUGUCAGCGUAGAAGAGUACAGAGAUGGGACUGAGCUUGGUGGUUGUGCAGCACGCUUUGGGAACCUCAUCCGGCUUCAGAAGGUGAACCUGCCAUUGAAAACGGGUUGGGAGGAGGACAUGCUGCCUGAGGAGAGGGAGGUUCCUCUGCCUCUACCUUACCACCAAGAGAGUGGAGGACAUCGCCCUGAGGCUCGUCUCCCUGCGCCAGGCCUUCACUACCCUGCUUGGUUCCACCCUGAGCAGGAACCAUCUGUUUGUGGCGGGAAAGGUCCUCCUGGGCGCACUGGUUCAGGCCAACCACAUGGACGAGGCCAAGUUCAUCCGUACUUAUAACGACUUUGUGGACUACCUGAGUGACCCCUCCAAGCGGAAUGACAUUGAGAGGGAGCUGGCUGAGGCAAAGAUCCAUCAUGUGAACAUGAUAGAUGUCCUCUUUGAGCUGGUGCUGUUUGGGAUGAUGACAGCUCAGAAGUCCCUGAUGGUG